CUUAAUUUGUGAUAUUUUACAGAUCAUGAAAUCGUCAAUGGCCUUUGUCUCGAUGUUGAGGGCAACAAUUUAGAAGCCGGACAUUCUAGUUUCACCCAUAAUAUAAGAAUGCAAAAUCUCUGGAUUCAGCUGUGCAACAAAAAUUGAAGUUGAGUGCUAGAAUUUUUAUAAAUUCUGAUUAUUUUGUAAAAUUGUUAAAAUGAAAGCAGUCCCCAAUCGGAGGUUUAUAUCUUUGAAUUGUUCUUCGGCAACGAAUACAAGGGGAACCUACGUGUCCUUCGCUGAUGGGUAUCAUUACACUUAUCAAAAGGUUCAAACUAAAGCACUCUCACUGUUCACAUGCUCGCAAUGAACUGAAGAUUGUUUAAAAAACUGAAUUUACGCGCAUGAUCGAAUUUCGAUCGAGGGUUGAGAAGUUUUUCAACAGCAAUUAUCGAUUAUUCAUGCAGUGGAAUACCAAAUACAGGGUAGUUCUUGUGACCCCACAACUCGCAUUGCGCAAAAGCUGAAUAGCAUUUCCAUUCUGUUGAAGUUGUACUUUACUGCACGAUGUUAUCGGACACAGAUUUAGAGGGGAGAUUUAUCAAGGCGCAGAAUAUUUUGGAUUAUGUGAGUCGACCUUUGUCGCUGUUAGGAAUGUGGCCAGUAAAUGUAACGAUGGGCAGUCGCAUUAGAAUGAUUAUGUAUUUUAUCUAUCAUUUUUAUCGAAUUGGAAUGGAGUUGAUUGAGUUUGCCAUGGUUUUUGGGAAUCUUGAGCGAGUCGUUGAAAAUCUUAUGAUGACCGCUUUACAAAUAGCUAUAAUCGUCAGGCUGGCUUUACCACGAUUCGCUGGUAGUAUGCGUCGAGUGCUCGAAACAUUGGAGGAUUUGCAUCAGCGGAAUAAGUUCAAGGACACGGGGGAGAUGGAAAUAUUUAUUGAGUACAGUGAACGCAGCGAGAGAUGCUUCAAAGUUCUAUUAUGGUGCGCUGCCGUUGCUUGCACCUCCUGGUACUUGACACCCAUUCAGAACUAUCUUCUUGCUAGAGUUCGCAACGAAACAUUCAUAUAUGAAGCUCCUUGGCGAAUGCCUGAAUUUGUAGCUACGGAAAGAGCCGAGGUGGCAUUAAUAGUUCAUAUCAUGGAAAUACCGGUGGUGUACAUCUGCUAUUGCUACAUGAUAUCCUACUCUGUAUAUCUCACGCUGAUAAAUCACAUUCGAUGCCAAUUAGUCAUUGUAAGUUACGAAGUGAGGAAUUUUAAGGUCGAUAGAAUGGGUCAUACGAAGGAGGUGCUCAGUCCCAUUGUUGAACGACAUAUCACAGCACUUCAUGUAGCAAAAUCAUUGAGUGAUUGUACUCAUAUUUCCCUUCUGGCUGAGCUGUUCGCCGUAAGUGUCACGCUUGCAUUGCUGAUGUACAACGCAAUGGUGGCUUCAGAAAGUGCCAGCUCCCAGAACCGCAUUAAAAUGGUAAACUCUGGAAUGUACAUUGUGAAUAUGCUACUUAUCAUAUUUGCAAAUUGCUAUAUGGGUCAGAAUUUGGAGGAUGAGGGGGUGAAUCUAUCCGAUGCAUUUUAUAACAACAAUUGGACCAAUCUGCCAGUCUCAGUUCAAAAAUCAUUUUUAAUAUGUAUCAUACAUUCUCAAAGACGAUUACAACUUACUGCUGGAAAGUUCUAUAAGUUUUCUCUGAAUAGUUUCACAAGGACCAUGAAAUCAAUCAUUGCGUUUUACUCAAUGCUGAGGGCAACGACGUAAACUCAGUGGAUUAUUGUCUUCGCGUGUGUUAAAUAUCAAAUGCUAAAUUCUGGAAAUGUAAUGAUAUAAAAAUACGAGCAACGGGUUAUUGCUCGGUUAUGAAGAUUAUAAUGAAUUAUGAAUACCAGGGUGUUAAUGUAAUAAAUAUUUUCUUGAGUACGAACUGAUGUAUUGAGGGAGCGAGUAGAGUGAGAAAAAAAUUAUUUUUAUCAAAUAUUCAUUUACGUGAAAAAAGUACUUUUUUUCAUAACUAUAUUUCUGCGAUGGAGUCAUCCUCAGACGGUCUGAAAUUAUUAUUCAUUAGUAUUGUUCAUGAGAAUGACUAUAUUUCACAUGAACUUGAAUCAACCCCACUACCGAUUAUUUAUUUUUCCUAAAUUUCUUAUUCUUCAAUGGGAGAAUGUCGAUAGAUCUUCUAAUGUUCAUUGAAGGACUUCACUCGUUUAGAUAAAAUCUUUGAAUGGGGCCUCAUUCCAAUAAUUUUAUGAAACUGAACUCACUCAAGAUAUUGUAAAAUAUAUAUUUCCUGGGUGUUGGACCAAUUCCCGUUCCCGUUAACUAUUAAAAUACCUAUCUCGUUUCAAAAAAAGUAUCGUAAAAGAAUAUUGCAAACGUUUGGAUAAUCCGGAUAUUAUAGCGCUUUCUAAGUAUAGACUGAAUAAAGCGCGAGGGCUAGCAAAAAAUCCCCAGCAGGACAGGUGCAGAAGUUCCCCGGGGGGUAAAG